rnacentral:rRNA from 1 species
AGCGAACGCUGGCGGCAGGCUUAACACAUGCCAGUCGAGCGGGCCCUUCGGGGUCAGCGGCAGACGGGUGAGUAACACGUGGGAACGUACCCUUUGGUUCGGAAUAACGCUGGGAAACUAGCGCUAAUACCGGAUACGCCCUUUUGGGGAAAGGCUUGCUGCCGAAGGAUCGGCCCGCGUCUGAUUAGCUAGUUGGUGGGGUAAUGGCCUACCAAGGCGACGAUCAGUAGCUGGUCUGAGAGGAUGAUCAGACACACUGGGACUGAGACACGGCCCAGACUCCUACGGGAGGCAGCAGUGGGGAAUAUUGGACAAUGGGCGCAAGCCUGAUCCAGCCAUGCCGCGUGAGUGAUGAAGGCCUUAGGGUUGUAAAGCUCUUUUGUCCGGGACGAUAAUGACGGUACCGGAAGAAUAAGCCCCGGCUAACUUCGUG